rnacentral:rRNA from 1 species
UACGUAGGGUGCGAGCGUUAAUCGGAAUUACUGGGCGUAAAGCGUGCGCAGGCGGUUGUGCAAGACAGAUGUGAAAUCCCCGGGCUCAACCUGGGAACUGCAUUUGUGACUGCACGGCUGGAGUGCGGCAGAGGGGGAUGGAAUUCCGCGUGUAGCAGUGAAAUGCGUAGAUAUGCGGAGGAACACCGAUGGCGAAGGCGACUACCUGGCCCAUUCUUGACGCUGAGGCGCGAAAGCUAGGGGAGCGAACGGG